rnacentral:rRNA from 1 species
GCCAACGACCAUACCACGUUGAAUACACCAGUUCUCGUCCGAUCACUGAAGUUAAGCAACGUCGGGCGUAGUUAGUACUUGGAUGGGUGACCGCUUGGGAACACUACGUGCCGUUGGCAGCA